rnacentral:lncRNA from 1 species
GACCACAAAGAAAAGAGGAACUAAAGGACAACACAAGAUGCCUCUACAGAGCAAAGAAGCCUGGCAUACUCCUCACCGCAUGACAAAAGUCGUCACUGAUGGGACAAGUCAAUCUCAGGCGUCUCCUCAUAGAAAGCACUAAGGCUGAACCAUUUAACAUUCCCACCAGCAACAUACGAGGGUUCCAGUUUCUCCACAUCGUCCUCAAAACCAGUUCCUGCCCGUCUUUUGAUUCUGGCCAUCCUAGUAGGUGAGAAGUGGUAUCUUACUGUGGUUUUCGUUUGCAUCUCCCUGAUCACUAAUGAUGUUGAGUAUUAAUGAUGUGUUUAUCUUCUCAGAGUAACUGUCUAUUCCAAGUCCUUUGCCCAUUUUUUGGUUGAGCUUUUUUUUUGCUG